rnacentral:ncRNA from 1 species
UGGUCCCAGCCUUGAAGUCAAUUUUUACUCAAUAUACACAUGCAAGUCUCCGCACCCCUGUGAAAACGCCCUUAAAUCCCCACUAGGGAUAAGGAGCUGGUAUCAGGCACGAUAAUCUGCCCAAGACACCUAGCUUUGCCACACCCACAAGGGACUUCAGCAGUGAUUAACAUUGACCAUAAGCGACAGCUUGACUCAGUUAGAGUAAAGAGAGCCGGCUAAUCUGGUGCCAGCCGCCGCGGUUACACCAUGUGGCUCAAAUUGACCCCCAAUCGGCGUAAAGCGUGAUUAAAGUCUAAUAAAAAUUGAGAUUGAACUUAAACUGAGCUGUGACACGCCUGUUAUUAAGGAAACCCGAAAACGAAAGUUAUCCCAAUUGAAUCAACUUGAACUCACGACAGCUGGGGCACAAACUGGGAUUAGAUACCCCACUAUGCCCAGCCGUAAACUUUAACUUACUUCAUCAUCGCCAGGGAACUACGAGCAAAGCUUAAAACCCAAAGGACUUGACGGUACCCCAUAUCCCCCUAGAGGAGCCUGUCCUAUAAUCGAUAACCCCCGUUUAACCUCACCAUUUCUAGUUAAUCAGCCUGUAUACCUCCGUCGUCAGCUUACCACGUGAGCGUCAUUUAGUGAGCUUAAUGCCCCUACGCCAACACGUCAGGUCAAGGUGCAGCAAAUGAAAUGGGAAGAGAUGGGCUACACUUUCUAAUUUAGAAAAUACGAAAGACUACUUAUGAAACCUAGUCAGAAGGUGGAUUUAGCAGUAAAAAGAAACUAGAGUGUUCUUUUUAACCCGGCACUGGGGUGUGUACACACCGCCCGUCACCCUCUUCAAAGCCCCCACAAAAGUAUUUAACCUACUACAGCAAAACAGAAGAGGCAAGUCGUAACAUGGUAAGUAUACCGGAAGGUGUGCUUGGAAA